GUAAAGAUAAGCUAAAAAAAACAAGCUUCUAGGUUCAUAACCUAUCGACGAGAACUCUCACGAUUACUCUCUUUAUA
rnacentral:tRNA from 1 species